GGAAGUGGUGAUUCUGGCUGUGUUCCUACAGUGACUAUACAGAAAGAGAAGGCAAGCAAAUCUGCUAUAUAUACAUUUUAGCCAAAGCCCUGAGCCGGUUCUGCACUGUGAAGAGACAUGA
rnacentral:snoRNA from 1 species